rnacentral:rRNA from 1 species
AAGCUCGCCAGAGUACCAAUUGGAGGGCAAGUCUGGUGCCAGCAGCCGCGGUAAUUCCAGCUCCAAUAGCGUAUAUUAAACUUGUUGCAGUUAAAAAGCUCGUAGUUGAACUUCAGCCUGUUCGAUAAGUGCCUUUGCGGCGUCUGAUCGAGUUGGCUUAUCUUUUUACUUUGAGAAAAUUAGAGUGUUUCAAGCAGACUUUUGUCUUGAAUACUUCAGCAUGGAAUAAUAGAGUAGGACCUUGGUUCUAUUUUGUUGGUUUCUGAACCUGGGUAAUGGUUAAUAGGAACGGUUGGGGGCAUUCGUAUUUAACUGUCAGAGGUGAAAUUCUUAGAUUUGUUAAAGACGAACUACUGCGAAAGCAUUUGCCAAGGACGUUUUCAUUAAUCAAGAACGAAAGUUAGGGGAUCGAAGACGAUCAGAUACCGUCGUAGUCCUAACCAUAAACUAA